UAUGAACGCUGGCGGCGUGCUUAACACAUGCAAGUCGAACGAAGAGGGUUAGAAUGAGAGCUUCGGCAGGAUUUCUUUCCAUCUUAGUGGCGGACGGGUGAGUAACGUGUGGGCAACCUGCCCUGUACUGGGGAAUAAUCAUUGGAAACGAUGACUAAUACCGCAUGUGAUCCUCGGAAGGCAUCUUCUGAGGAAGAAAGGAUUUAUUCGGUACAGGAUGGGCCCGCAUCUGAUUAGCUAGUUGGUGAGAUAACAGCCCACCAAGGCGACGAUCAGUAGCCGGUCUGAGAGGGUGAACGGCCACAUUGGGACUGAGAUACGGCCCAG
rnacentral:rRNA from 1 species